UCUGUGUCUCUCUCUCUGCAGGAUAUGGCUUUGUGGACUUUGACACUCAGACAGCAGCCCAGAAAGCUGUAGCCUCUCUGAAGGCCAGCGGAGUCCAGGCACAGAUGGCCAAGCAACAGGAACAGGAUCCCACUAACCUGUACGUUUCCAACCUGCCUGUGUCCAUGGAUGAGCAGGAGCUGGAGAACAUGCUGAAACAUCUCGGUCACGCCUCAUCUCAACACGGGUACUACGGGACGCCAACGGGGUCAGCAGAGGAGUCGUCUUCGCCAGGAUGGAGUCAACAGAGAAGUGCGAUGUGGUGAUUCAACAUUUCAACGGAAAGUUUCUGAAGACUCCACCAGGCGUACCAGGUAUGAGGAACAGCUACUCCU